CAUGCCAUUGGAACACCAUGCCGUACAGAAAUACAACCAUGCACACAUGUCCGUUCCAUAUAAAGUCCGUCUGCCGGCACACAAAUAAACCACUUGUUCUCCUUGAAAAUGCAACGGUCCAUUAGAAGCUUCUUUCAUGUGAGAGUAGCGGGUACUGCAGCAGCAGGAGAGAUCAAUGGAGUUGUGGCUUGCAAGAAGACGCCGAUCGGUACCGGACAACUCGGUAUUUCAUCGUGGAGGCAAAGGCGGUGCUACGUCCCUCUGCGGACACAGACACGGACAUCUUGCCCUGCCACAGACCCUGCGAGCAAUCAGGAACGACUUGCAGAUGAUGAUGAUGAUAGGAAGGAGAAGGAUCGCCUCAGGAAAAGUUGCCAACAGUUUCAGCCUUCCAUUUGGGGAGAUUUUUUCCUUUACUACGACUCCAAUCCGCUGGCUUCCUCCGCUGAGCAGACAAGGAUAGUAGAACGAGCAAACAAACUGAAGGAAGUGGUGGCAAAAAUGAUAGUAGCAAGUUCAAGUACCCAUAACCAGAUUGAGAUGUUACAUGAUUUAGAUGCAAUGUUGGUAGUUUUGUACUUUUGGGACUCUGGUUGUAAGCAUGACCUAUUCAUUACGGUUGGGUAAAAUAUAAAUUUGGGGUUUAUGGUUCAUUUGGCUAUGGGGUUUCAUGAGCUUCAUCUGUUGCUACAUCUGAUAGAAGUAUUUUUUGGGUAUCUCUCCUAUCAGGCCUGAUAUUGUCCGAUGUGAAAUGUACUUUCCUGACAGGCACUUGAUCCAGGUUGACUGUGGGAAGUUGCAGGAGCUUGCGAUUUUGCUGAGACGUUUGAUGUCAGAAGGACACAGGGCCUUGAUAUUUACUCAGAUGUGUUUGGUGGGGUACAUUAAUUUGUAUGGGUACACAUAUUUGCCGUUAGAUGGUUCUACCCAGCCAGAAGAGAGGCAGACACUAAUGCAGAUGUUUAUUACAAACCCUAA